rnacentral:lncRNA from 1 species
AUGUUUUUGGAAGGCCUCUCAGUAUGCCGUAUUAUGACUCCUGCUAAUAUCCUUUAUGACCUCACUUGUGAACAUGGUAGCAUUAUUUUACAGAUGAACAUAAACUCUGAGACAAGACAAGCUAGCUCCCGGGAUUAUNCUACCAUUUUACAGAUGAACAUAAACUCUGAGACAAGACAAGCUAGCUCCCGGGAUUAUGAUGGGAUUUUUCAAGGAGAACUAGAACUGCUCCAGAGGAGAGUAUUCGGAGCAGGACAUGCUCCUAAGCCCGAGGAAGGUACUGCUCACAUGCAGUGAGUCCCGGCACCUCCACUGUUUCCAACAACAAAGUGGAUGGAGAACACUUCAGCCUUGCUAAACAAUGCCGGAAGUCUGGCUGGGCCAAAUGCGUCAGGCUAUUAGGACGGUGCCAUGAAGUCCAUGUCCAUCAUUUUGCCUUCAAAGUGGGAGGUGGGGAGAAAAGGGUGGAGGAAGAAGAGGAAAAAGGGAAAGGGGAAUAAGUGGAGAGGGGGAGAUAAUGGAGGAAAAGAGAGUUUUGAUGUCACAGAGAAAUGACUGUAGAUGUAUCUUUUUUUCACUCUGGACUUCAGCCAACCACCUACUUUUCUCUGAGCUUGACAGGAUAUUGAUCAAUUAUUAGAAAAUUGUAAAAUGUGUUAUAAUUUUCCCAGGGAUUUUUGUACGAAAGCUGUAAUGCUUAAAGACCAACCGAGAAACUCUCGGCUAACCAGAGCUGAUGUCAACAAGUCUUGAUACUUUUUUUGAGUCUGCCCCGUUUCUCCUCUUCUUUAGAACUUUCUCUAACCAGUUCAGGCUAAAGUAACGUCUCUUUUCUCUGAUCUCUUAUGGCAAGCAUUGCCUGGACGACUCAUUCGGUAACUAAUCAUGUUCUACUGCCCUUGUCAUCUCCUGUGUAAAGUAUUUACACUUUUUUUUUUUUAAGAGACAGGUUGUGUGCCUGAGCAGGAUGGGGGAGCAGGGAAGAGAGAAUCGCAAGCAGGCUCCAGCCUGGGGGAGCCCAGAAUGGAACUGGAUCUGACCACCCUGAGACCAUGACCCCAGCAUAAAAGCCACCCAGGUGCCCUGAGUAUUUACACUUUUUAAUUUUCCCCUCCAUCAUUUAUCUUUGCUGUUGCCCAGUUCUUCACUAUUCCCGUCUCUAAUCGUCACUCCUCUUUCCAACCAUCCAAUCAUCUUUCUAAUGGGAAAGCUCCAUGAAGGCAGGGACUUUAUUUCAAACUGCUUCUUCCACCAUGACCACUAUUUCACACCCUCAUCUGCUGCUUUGGAAACAUGC